rnacentral:lncRNA from 1 species
CUUAUAACCAAUUUCUUAUUCAUUUUUCCAGGAGGAUGCUAUGUAUUUGCAAAUAUACAGAAGUAGUUUUACUUUUUUUCACUUCUCUGUUUAUCAUGCAGAGUUGGCAGCAAUCAAAAUAAAUUACCAUAAGAGAUUGGUUAAAUAUAAAUACAGGAUAACCUGCUAUACACUUCCUUAUAAUCAUAUUUUUGAAAAUAGUUUCAUGAUAUAAGAAAAUUUUUAUCAAUUGAAAAAGUACAUUAUGGUUUGUAUCUGAAUGUCCCCCCAAAGCCUCCUGUGAUCAUAGGUAGGGAUUUGAAAGGUAAUGGGAUAGUGGGGGUGUGAUUAGCUCUCUGAUGUCUUUAUACACAUGUGAUGUUGGGAAGUGAAGGUUGACAGAAGAGGUGGGUCACUGUGGCGUGGUCUGGAAGGAUGUAUCUCCCUCCCCCCUCCCUUUGUCUCUUCCUGCUUCCCACCACUACCAGCCAUGGGCUGUUUCUCGUCUGUCCUGCCUGGCUACCAUGCUGCCCUGCCUUGGAACCAGCCAACUAUGGACUGAAACAUCUACAAACUGUGCGAGCAUGUGUGUGUAUUGCACUGGGUCCCAGUGUAAAUAAGGUGCAUUUCUGAUCAUGGUGGUAGUCAGCUAUAAUGACAGAAAAGUGGCUUCAGAGACAAUAGGAGGGGAAAACACAAUGCAAUAAAGCAGACGUUAAAAUUUGCUAAAGUUGAGUGAAGGGAGUUCGACAUAUCAGCUCUUUCUAAACUCCAAGAAGCCUAUUGGGAAGAUCACUCAUUUUUCCAUUCACUGAUUCAACACAUAAUUAUUGAGUGUCUACAACGUUCAACCCACUGAUGAAAUGGCGUCAACUGGAUACUGGCAGCCUCUGUAUUAAAUGUAGCACAGAGAUAUUU